ACGUACACUCCUGCGGGAGGCAGCAGUGGGGAAUUUUACGCAAUGGGGGAAACCCUGACGUAGCGACACCGCGUGAGCGAAGAAGCCCUUUGGGGUGUAAAGCUCUGUCAGCUGGAACGAAAACAAUGACGGUACCAGCAGAGGAAGCAUCGGCUAACUACGUGCCAGCAGCCGCGGUAAGACGUAGGAUGCGAGCGUUGUCCGGAUUUAUUGGGCGUAAAGAGUUCGUAGGUGGUUUGUUAAGUUUGGUGUUAAAGAUCGGGGCUCAACCCUGGGACUGCACUGAAUACUGGCAGACUCGAGUGUGGUAGAGGCUAGUGGAAUUCCCAGAGUAGCGGUGAAAUGCGUAGAUAUUGGGAAGAACACCGGUGGCGUAGGCGACUAGCUGGGCCAUAACUGACGCUGAGGAACGAAAGCCAGGGGAGCGAAUGGGAUUAGAAACCCUAGUAGUCCCAUG
rnacentral:rRNA from 1 species